CUUGCCCUAAUACCCCACAUAUCGUGCAUUAUCACUGAUAUCUUGAUCAUUAACAAGCACAAUAGGCCGUCUAUUUGCGUCAUUCUACUGCCCACGGUCU
rnacentral:rRNA from 1 species